rnacentral:rRNA from 1 species
UGCGGUUAUACAAAUUAUAUUAUUUAAUUAUGUUGAUAAUAAUUAAUUAAACUCGAAUUAAUUUAGCUUUAAAAUUUAUUAAGUGAAAUUUUAAAUUUUAUUAAAAAUUAUAAGAAUUAAAUGAAGUUGAGAAAGUUAAUUUAUAAACUAGGAUUAGAUACCCUAUUAUUUUAAAUGUAAUGAUUAUAUUAAAUUAGUAUUAGUUAUGUUCUUGAAAAUUAAAAAUAUUGGCAGUAUUUUAUUCUAUUCAGAGGAACCUGUUUUAUAAACGAUAUUCCACGAUUAUAUUUACUUUUAUUGUUAAUUUACAUAUCGUCGUCAUAAAAUAUUUUAUUAGAAUUUAAAUAUUUAGAAUUUUUAAUUUGAUAAUAUAUCAGAUCAAGGUGUAGUUUAUAUAAGAGUAAAAAUGGGUUACAAUAAAUUAAUUAAGGAUUAUUAUUUUUAAAAUAAUUUGAAUGUGGAUUUGGAUGUAAAUUUAUUUAUUUAAUUAUCUUGAUUUAGUAAUAAAAUAUGU